AAACUUAAAGGAAUUGACGGGGACCCGCACAAGCAGAGGAGCGCGUGGUUUAAUUCGACGGCAAUCGAAGAACCUUACCAGGGUUUGAAAUGUAUCUGCAUGCCCUAUGAAAUAGGGAGGCCUUCGAGGGUGAUACACAGGUGCUGCAUGGCCGCCGUCAGCUCGUGUCGUGAGAUGUAGGGUUAAGUCCCGAAACGAGCGCAACCCCUAUUCUAUGUUACAAGUGUCUUAGAAAACCGCCUCGGUAAAACGAGGAGGAAGGUGGGGAUGACGUCUGGUCCGCAUAGCCCUUAUGUCCUGGGCUACGCACGCGCUACAAUGGCCGAUACAGUAGGAAGCCAAAUCGUAAGAUGGAGCUAAUCCUUAAAGUCGGUCUCAGUUCGGAUUGAGGUCUGAAAUUCGACCUCAUGAAGUUGGAUUUGCUAGUAAUCGUAGAUCAGCAAUGCUACGGUGAAUACGUUCUCGGGUCUU
rnacentral:rRNA from 1 species